UAACCGUCUAGGUGCGCGAGACUGUAUGGACGUCUGGUAUAACGGCUACCAUGAGGGAGGAGUAUUCUACCUAGGACAAACACGGGGACGAGCCUACUGCGAAGUACGAGAGUUUUCCGUCGCCGUGGAGUCCAGUGGAUCUGGGGACCCCGGCUUUGACGCAUCCACAUCCACCUUCAUCACUGUAGGGCAAAACACCACUAACUUCGCAGGUGCUGCGCGAUCUGGCCUUCAUAUUUUCAUCAUUAAUGAGCACACUGGAGACGUACUGGAUGUCAGGCGCUUCGACACCUCGCUGGAGAGCGAACGGCAAUCUGUAACCAGCUUUCUAGGAGGGGUAAACGAAGUGAGGACCUACACUCCACAUAUGCAUACACUUAGUUACGCUCAGUAUUUUCCAGAGUCAUUUUUCAUGAUCAGUCUUUUCUUAAUCAAAUACAUGGAUUUUAUUGCAAGCAAUGACAUCAAAUAUGUUUUUACACACAUAUGUCUUUGCCCCUUUCUCUUACAUUUUUACUGUAAGGUACAGUUAA